rnacentral:miRNA from 1 species
UUAUAUUAGGUUGGUGCAAAAGUAAUUGUGAUUUUUGCCGUAACUUUCAAUGGCAAAAUCCACAAUUUCUUUUGCACCAACCUAAUA